rnacentral:misc_RNA from 1 species
CAACCCUCAGGCCCUAGCCGCCUGGUGAUGGGGCUAUACAGCGCUGCUGUAUGCCCUGAAAAGCAGUGGCGGUGUCCGCCAGCACUCCGGGCGCAGUAGCACUACCUCGCCCUGGACGUCUGGCGGCCGGCCGGCCGUUAAACCCCCAAAUUACAAAAGG